GACGAACGCUGGCGGCGUGCCUGACACAUGCAAGUCGAACGAGGUCCAUGCAGUGGCAACACUGCGGAAGACCUAGUGGCGAACGGGUGAGUAACACGUGAGGAACCUGCCUCGAAGACCGGGAUAACCCUCCGAAAGGAGAGCUAAUACCGGAUGCCCCCACCGGAUCGCAUUAUCUGGUCACGAAAUGGAUUCCGCCUCGGGAGGGCCUCGCGGCCUAUCAGCAUGUUGGUGGGGUACAGGCCCACCAAGGCAUCGACGGGUAGCUGGUCUGAGAGGACGAUCAGCCACACUGGGACUGAGACACGGCCCAGAGUCGUACGGGAGGCAGCAGUGGGGAAUCUUGCGCAAUGGGCGAAAGCCUGACGCGGCUACGCCGCGUGGGAGAUGAAGGCUCUAGGGUUGAAAACCCCUUACAGCAGGGACGAAUCAAGACGGUACCUGCAGAAGAAGCCCCGGCUAACUACGUGCCAGCAGCCGCAGUAAGAC
rnacentral:rRNA from 1 species